GGCGACGAUCCCUAGCUGGUCUGAGAGGGUGACCAGCCACACUGGAACUGAGACACGGUCCAGACUCCUACGGGAGGCAGCAGUGGGGAAUAUUGCACAAUGGGCGCAAGCCUGAUGCAGCCAUGCCGCGUGUAUGAAGAAGGCCUUCGGGUUGUAAAGUACUUUCAGCGGGGAGGAAGGUGUUGUGGUUAAUAACCGCAGCAAUUGACGUUACCCGCAGAAGAAGCACCGGCUAACUCCGUGCCAGCAGCCGCGGUAAUACGGAGAGUGCAAGCGUUAAUCGGAAUUACUGGGCGUAAAGCGCACGCAGGCGGUCUGUCAAGUCGGAUGUGAAAUCCCCGGGCUCAACCUGGGAACUGCAUUCGAAACUGGCAGGCUAGAGUCUUGUAGAGGGGGGUAGAAUUCCAGGUGUAGCGGUGAAAUGCGUAGAGAUCUGGAGGAAUACCGGUGGCGAAGGCGGCCCCCUGGACAAAGACUGACGCUCAGGUGCGAAAGCGUGGGGAGCAAAC
rnacentral:rRNA from 1 species